GACGAACGCUGGCGGCGUGCUUAACACAUGCAAGUCGAACGAUGAUGCUGGAGCUUGCUCCAGUUGAUUAGUGGCGAACGGGUGAGUAACACGUGAGCAAUCUGCCCUUGACUCUGGGAUAACUGCGGGAAACUGUAGCUAAUACCGGAUACUUUCACCGGAAGGCAUCUUCUGGUGAUGAAAGAAUUUCGGUCAGGGAUGAGCUCGCGGCCUAUCAGCUUGUUGGUGAGGUAACGGCUCACCAAGGCGACGACGGGUAGCCGGCCUGAGAGGGGGACCGGCCACACUGGGACUGAGACACGGCCCAGACUCCUACGGGAGGCAGCAGUGGGGAAUAUUGCACAAUGGGCGCAAGCCUGAUGCAGCAACGCCGCGUGAGGGAUGAAGGCCUUCGGGUUGUAAACCUCUUUUAGCAGGGAAGAAGCGAAAGUGACGGUACCUGCAGAAAUAGCACCGGCUAACUACGUGCCAGCCGCCGCCGUAA
rnacentral:rRNA from 1 species